UACGUAGGGUGCAAGCGUUGUCCGGAAUUAUUGGGCGUAAAGAGCUCGUAGGCGGUCUGUCGCGUCUGCUGUGAAAACUCGGGGCUUAACCCCGGGCCUGCAGUGGGUACGGGCAGACUAGAGUGCGGUAGGGGAGACUGGAAUUCCUGGUGUAGCGGUGAAAUUCGUAGAUAUCGGGAGGAAUACCAGUGGCGAAGGCGGCGACCUGGGCCAAUACUGACGCUGAGGUGCGAAAGCAUGGGGAGCGAACAGG
rnacentral:rRNA from 1 species